UGAUUAUUUUUGGAUGGCCUGUG
rnacentral:miRNA from 1 species